CCUACGGGAGGCAGCAGUGGGGAAUAUUGCACAAUGGGGGAAACCCUGAUGCAGCGACGCCGCGUGAGGGAAGAAGGAUUUCGGGAUGGAAAGCUCUAUCAGCAGGGAAGAAAAUGACGGUACGUGAGUAAGAAGCCACGGCUAACUACGUGCCAGCAGCCGCGGUAAUACGUAGGGGGCAAGCGUUAUCCGGCUUUACUGGGUGUAAAGGGAGCGUAGAGGGGUGGAUAAGUCUGUUGUGAAAUCCCGGGGCUGAACCCCGGAACUGCUUUUGAAACUGUCCAUCUAGAGUGCAGUAGAGGUAAGUGGAAUUCCUAGUGUAGCGGUGAAAUGCUUAGAUAUUAGGAGGAACCCCAGUGGCGAAGGCGGCUUACUGGACUGUGCCUGACGUUGAUGCUCGAAAGCGUGGGUAGCAAACAGGAUUAGAUACCCCUGUAGUC
rnacentral:rRNA from 1 species